UUAAAAACAGUGUGAAAUCACACUUUGGUCUGUAAACAUAUUUAGCUUUGCUUUUCAUUCAGAUGUAGCAAAUGAAAAUUAAAGCAUUUAUUUUGGUAGUUCUUCAAUAAUGAUGCGAGAAACUGAAUUCCAUCCAGUAGAAGCAUCUCCUUUUGGGUAAUCUGAACAAGUACCAACCCAGAUAGCAACAUCCACUAAUCCAGCACCAAUUCCUUCACAAAGUCCUUCCACUGCAAGACAAAGAUGAAAGUUACAUCUUUCUUUAGAACAAAGAGCAAAAUCCUUUAGUUAAAUUUUAUAACUUCAGAAAGCUAGUUUGUAAUUCUGUUUAAUGUAAUGCUACUUAAAAAUUUUAAUACUUGAUAAGGUUUUUAUAAUGAAGUCCUCUUUUUCUAAAUUGGUACAUAAAUAUUUUUAAAAGAUGUAUACAUAUCCAUUCUAUGAUAUAAGUUUAACAAGCAGUGUUCUUACAGGUUUCAAGCAUAAAACCAGAAUUUGUAUACUUACAGAGAUAGCUUAAAACAAAAAAGCAAUUUAUUUGAAUAAACAAAGAAAGGCUAUAUAUACUUUUAAAAGCCAAGACUUUCAUUUGAUAUGCAAGUCUUUUUUAAAAAAAGAAAGCCCUUUCCGACACUUAUCUGCUGAUAAGUGAUGCUAGACAAGUAGACGAAAUAACUUUUUUUUUUUUUUGAGAUGGAAUCUCGCUCUGUCACCCAGGCUGGAGUGCACUGGCGCAAUCUCAGUGCACCGCAACCUCCGCUUCCCACGUUCAAGCAAUUUUCCUGUCUCAGCCUCCUGAGUAGCUGGGACUACAGGCACCUGCCACCACGCCUGGCUAAUUUUUUGUAUUUUUAGUAGAGAUGGAGUUUCAUCGUGUUAGCCAGGAUGGUCUCGAUCUCCUGACCUCGUGAUUUACCCACUUCGGCCUCCCAAAGUGCUGGGAUUACAGGCAUGAGCCACCGUGCCCAGCCAGAAGAAAUAACUUUUAUAACAUUAAAAGAAAUUCUACAUAAUCAUUACACCAGUCCUUCAAUCUGGGAAUCCCAUUUUACACAGAAUUUCCUCAUAGUGAAAAAACAUAAAACAGAAAAUCCCCCCUGCUUUUCCUCUGUGUUUUUAUGCAUUACAAUUAUGCACCUUUUCACAUGUCCUCUGGACUUUCACCUACUAACAAUACAAGUUGCAUUCCAUCUUACCAAAGUCUUCUCUUAAAUUAAAAAAAAAAAAUCCCUCAGUCAUUUUAGCAGGCAAAAAGACAUGGUACCUUUGAUGUAUGUGUAAAGCUGGAGAAGAAACUGUAGGUUGGCAGAUUCAAGAAAAUGAAUCCUGGUUUUCUGUCCUUGUGAUAGUUUGCUCACUCAUAAGUGGGAAUUGAACAAUGAGAACACUUGGACACAGGGCGGGGAACAUCACACCCCGGGCCUGUUGUGGGGUGGGGGGCUGGGGGAGGGAUAGCAUUAGGAGAAAUACCUAAUGUAAAUGGCGAGUUAAUGGGUGCAGCAAACAAACAUGGCACAUGUAUACAUAAGUAACAAACCUGCACGUUAUGCACAUGUACCCUAGAACUUAAAGUAUAAUAAUAAUAAUACUAAAGAAAAAAAAGAAAAUGAAUCCUGAUAUAGUGGAUGACUUUAUGUGACUGGUUAGGCUUCCUAUUUGAUUGAGGUUAGUGCAUUCCUGCUGAGACCCAGAGAUGUAGGUCUGAAGCAAUCUGCUUACAUAAACUAUCACAGGAGUAAAUCCAGAGCAAGUCUCUCAGAAUCCAGGGACCUGUCUCUGGUUCAGUCCCCUUCCCAAGUUGGGGGAACUAAAUAGUAGGCCCACAAUCCCAUUUAAUCUGGUAUUCUUAGUACCAUGCCAAGUGAAAAUGCCUACAAAUGCUCAUGUUUUCCCAGGGUCUUGACAGCCAUGGCCUAGAAACUUGUUCACUUCCCCCUACGGCCUAAGGACGUCAGACAAGCUUGGGUCUUGCAUCAGCCUCAUCUGAGGACAGUCAAAUGGUCACUUCAUGGUCUUUAGCAGAUGAAAUAAUGUUGAAUGAACAUUUUUGCUGUGAUAAUGUAGUAUGAUAGCUUGUUAAGUAAAAACGAUAUGUUGGAUUGGGAGUUCUCAACCUGUUUUCCUCCUAGACCAUGUAACAGAUGACAACCAUUUGUCAAACUCCCAUGGGCAUAUCAAGGCUUUAAGCCAUCCUCUGAUAUGCUAACUAUAAGUGCACCCCUUUCCUUUCCCUUAAGAGAGACUAUCAGUAUGUCAGAAAAAGUGAUUCUGUUACAGAGGUAACUUUUAAUCCACAAUAAUACAAAAACUGUUAUUAAUAACAAAUUACUUGUGACACUCCACCCAACUGAUCACACCAAAUGAGUUUGCACACAAUGGUUGGGAAAUGCUGUGUUAAAUUAUUUAUAAAGUAUAUGCGUGUAUAUGACACAGUUCCUGGGCCUAAGGGCUUACAUUAGCAAAAUAUUAACACACACCUUAAAGAUAACAGAAUAGAAUGUAAGUUGCUUAUAUCAACGACUGUCUGAACAUAUCACUUCCUAAUCAAAUUUUAUUUUUAAUAUCUAGAUUCUUCUUAUUUUAAAGACUAUUUCUUAGAUGGGAAGCACUUCUUCCUUUCCAGCACAUGUAUCUAAGUACUUAGUGAAGAGGGUUUUUAAUCUGAUUACAAAGAGAACUGGGAGCCAAGAGAACAGGGCGUUGGUUUCUGCUCUCCUGAACGCUGAUUCUACUGUCCCGUGUAAGACGCUGUAUUUCCCUGGGUUUCUCAAUAUGCAAAGAGAGGGGGUUAAAAUCUCUUCUUUAUGUUUCAAGGAUAUUGUGGGGAUCUGAGGGAAAAUGUGGAGGGGAUGCCCUUGAUUGCUUAGGAAUAAAUUGGUUUUGGGGUUCAGUACCUGACUUGGAGCCCUAAAGAAUGCUGAAAUGUUAUUUUGAGGGAAGGGAAGAGUGAGAUUAUCUCCUCCCUCCCCUCAACCAUUUUUAAUUAUAAGAUUAGUGAAAAAUCUCUUCAGGAAAUCAAGGAAAUGAUGCUAACCAUAUGUAUAGUUUCUUAUUUUUCUUCUAUGAAAAGGCAUAUGAAUAUAACAGUAUGUACACUUUCUGAUGCUACCAUGGUGUGCCAUCCACUGCAACUCAAGAAACCAAAAUGGCUGACAACAAAAUAUUGAUAGUGGUGUCUCUGGAGGAUGAGAUUAAUAGUUUUUUUUUUUUUUAACUCUUCUAUUUUCUGGUAUUUUCUAAACUUUCUUUAAUGAAUCUUAAAAUAGAACAAACAGGCCAGGCAUGGUGGCUCAUGCCUGUAAUCAUGGCACUUUGGGAAGCUGAGCAGGAGGAUCACUUGAGGCCAAGUGUUCAAAGUUGCAGUGAGCUGUGAUCCUGCCAGUGUACUCCAGGCUGAGCAACAGAGCAAGACCCUGUCUCUAAAAUAAAUAAAUAAAUAAACAAAUACAUAAGUACAUAAAACAACCCAAUGAUAUUUUUCUGACAGUUUAAGUGACCACUGAAUGUCUUUUCCUCAUACUAGGUGGAAACAGAAUACAGAAACAGUAUAAAAAUUUUGUCUUUUACAAAUUCAGCAGACAGUAUCCACCCUUUUAAAGGAUAAGGCAGAAAAAUCAGUCUCCUUAUUAGUCUGAGCCAGUGGUUCUAAAUUUUGGCUGAACAUUAGAAUGACCAGGAGAUUUUUUUUUUUUGAGACUGCAUCUCACUCUGUCAUCACUCAGGAUGGAGUGCAGUGGGGCAGCCUCAGCUCACUGCAACCUCUGCCUCCUGGGCUGAAGCCAUCCUCCCACCUCAGCCUCCAUAGUAGUUGGGACUAAUUUUUUGGUAUUUUUUUUGUAGAGAUGGGGUUUCGCCCUCUUGCCCAGGUUUGUCUCAAACUGCUAGGCUCAAGUGAUUGCCCGUCUCAGCCUCCCAAAGUGCUGGGAUUACAGGUGUGAGCUACCACGCCCAGCCUACCAAGAGAUACUUCGAAAGUCCCAUUGCCAAGUCUGCACCCAGACCUGUUAAAUCUGACUCCCUGGAAGGGUGGGAUAGGCAUUUCUUUUUAAAGUUCCCAGAGUUCCUACAGUGAGCCCAAUAUGUAGCCAAGGUUGAAAGACCACUGCUCUAUGGCAUUAUUGGCUAUUUUGCCAUGUCAUUUAACUCACUGAUUUUCAAGCCUGGGGCACAUCUGAAUCACCAGGGGAUCUUUUAAAAAACACAGAAGCUGUGGUCUUACUGCUAGAGAUUCUGCGUUAGUUCAUCAGAGAUAGGGCCCAGGCAUCUAUGUAUUUUUAAAAGAUCGAGAGGUAAUGCAGAAGUACAACCCAGGGUGGAGAAUCAUGCAUUGAAAACUUGCUAGAGGUCCCUUUACAGUAGGCUAGUGAACCAACAUGAUAGUGGGACUCAAAACUAAUCUUACUUAGAUCUGAGGCACAUCUUGCAAUGUCACAAUUUUACAUACCAGAAGAAGUGCGAUGAAUAUUAAUUGUUGAAUUCAUUUCAGGGCUUCCUUGGUCCAAAUAAAUUAUAGCUUCAAUGGGAAGAGGUCCUGAACAUUCAGCUCCAUUGAAUGUGAAAUACCAACGCUGACAGCAUGCAUUUCUGCAUUUUAGCCGAAGUGAGCCACUGAACAAAACUCUUAGAGCACUAUUUGAACGCAUCUUUGUAAAUGUACACUCCUGUCACAAACAUAGAAAUGGGAUUUAAUUAACAUUUUCUAUUUUAAUUAAAAAGAGCUUUUGAGACUGGUGAAUUUUACUUAACUAUCCUUUUCCCCAAAAUGUAUUUAAAAAGUUUAACUUGGCCGGGUGUGGUGGCUCAUACCUGUAAUCCCAGCAUUUUGGGAGGCCGAGGGGGGCAGAUUACUUGAGGCCAGGGGUUAGAGACAAGCCUGGCCAACAUGGCGAAACCCAUCUCUACUAAAAAUACAAAAAAUUUGCUGGGUGUGGUGGCGCACGCCUGUAAUCCCAGUUACUCGGGAGGCUGAGACGUGAGAAUCGCUUGAACCCAAGAGGUGGAGGUUGCAGUAAGCCGAAAUUGUGCCACUGCACUUUAGCCUGGGCAAAAAAGUGAGACUCUGUCUCAAAAAAAUUAAAAUAAACAAAAAUAAAGCUUAACUUUUAUAGAGGGAGGGAGAUUUUCUGCAAGCUAGGUAAGAGAUUUUGAUAUAGGAACUCUAAGAAAAUCAAAUUGCAGCUUUCUCAGAACUUUUCGCCCCAUUGAGGGUAUCUUUCAGUUUUAUCAAAAAAGGCUAGCCUUCAGUACUUUUGAUAAAAUCAAUUUAUAUAUUUCCUCUUUUUUUUGCAUUCAAAAAAUAUUUACUGAGCCCCAACUAUGUGCUAAAUGGUACAGAUAGAGCAGUUAACAAACCAGAAUCCCUACCUUCAUGGAACUUACAUUCUAGACUAGUUCUGUCCAUUCGUAUUGACUCUUGACGUGUUUCUUUUCGAGCAACAGCAAACAGUAUGAGGGAGUAAAGGAUAGGCAGGGUUUUUAGUCUUUAUCUAUAUGAUGCAAUGAUAAGGCCCAGGUUUCUUGUUUGCUUAUUUUCUCAUUGGUCUAUGCAAAUUUGUCUGUCUAUUGGCUCAUGGACCUAUUAUCCUUUACUCAUAGAAGGUUACCAUACCCAUCCUGACCAUUGCUAAAAGGAACUUGAAAACAUAUUAAUAAUUCAGAACCCACAAGGAUAGCUUUUAGAAAGAACUCAGUAACUUUUGAUGAACAACUAUAAAUAAACAACCAGUCUAUCAAUGUCAGAUGUUUAAAUAACUAGGGAACAUUUUAACAAAAUGUUUUCUAGAAACACACAUGAACACAGAAAAGGUCAUAGUCAUCAUAACUAUGGAAGCUACAUGGAAAUUCUAUCACAAAACAAGACAGUCUCAAACUCUUAAUAGAGCAGAAAGAGCUGAGAUAAGGAACAGGGAUUAUACACAGAGUGCAUCUUAAAAUCUUGGAGUUUUAUGAAACAAAUUUCUUGUAAUUGCUUGAUGGUAGCAGUAAAAUCAUGAAGUAAUAUGUUGUGAAUAUGGAACCAUGUACAGAGUUCAUCAACAGAGAAAAGAGGCUUAUAAAUAGCAUCAACUUCUUCAACUCUCUUCCAUCCCAGUGGACUUGCCAAUUACUUUUGAAGCAAACACUAAUCAAAGUGACUGAAACAUUAGUCAAAAUACAUGACCGGACAGGCUAUUUUGAGUAAUUCUCUGCCACUCAGCCUUAAUGUUGCAGAAUAACUUAAAAUAAUCACUGUAGUACCUCACAUCUAACCCAUUUCACUUCUCUUAGGCUUAGCAGUUUUAAGCUGGGCAUGCUUCCUAAAUAAAGACAAACACCAAUGGACUUCUGCUUCCAGAUCAAUGUGGUAAUUUCUUGGAAAUUUUUUCCCACCUUUAUGUCUGAAGCCAGGACAGAAUUUCUUAGACUAAAUUUAAAUUUACUUUAGGAUAAGAUUGGAAAGUUGCUUACUGUCCAACACAGACACAUAUGCUCUCUUUUGUUUGCAUUUUUAAAAAGUAUGUUAUUUUAGAUACUAUGGUUAAAAUGAUAAGCAUUUGUCUUAGAAAUAUCUCUAUGAAAUUCUGAAAUGUUAUAAACUUUUUCAUUAGUUUUAAAUUAAAAGUCACAUGCUACCUACUUCUCUUUUUUAAGUCUUUUAGUUAAAAAAAAAUAAAAUGUCACCUAAAA
rnacentral:lncRNA from 10 species